rnacentral:rRNA from 1 species
AUUGAACGCUGGCGGCAUGCCUUACACAUGCAAGUCGAACGGUAACAGGUCUUCGGAUGCCGACGAGUGGCGAACGGGUGAGUAAUACAUCGGAACGUGCCUAGUAGUGGGGGAUAACUACUCGAAAGAGUGGCUAAUACCGCAUGAGAUCUACGGAUGAAAGCAGGGGAUCGCAAGACCUUGUGCUACUAGAGCGGCCGAUGGCAGAUUAGGUAGUUGGUGGGAUAAAAGCUUACCAAGCCGACGAUCUGUAGCUGGUCUGAGAGGACGAUCAGCCAAACUGGGACUGAGGAACGGCCCAGACUCCUACGGGAGGCAGCAGUGGGGAAUUUUGGACAAUGGGCGCAAGCCUGAUCCAGCAAUGCCGCGUGCAGGAUGAAGGCCUUCGGGUUGUAAACUGCUUUUGUACGGAACGAAAAGCCCCGGGUUAAUACCCUGGGGUCAUGACGGUACCGUAAGAAUAAGCACCGGCUAACUACGUGCCAGCAGCCGCGGUAA